CCAAGGAGUCUAGCGUGUGCGCGAGUCAUUGGGUGUAAAACCUAAAGGCGCAAUGAAAGUGUCAGGGGUGCCUCCUUUAGGAGCGCUCCCCGUCGGGAGGAUGGGCCGCCGUACGAUCACUCGUCGGAGCCCCGCACUCCCGGGGCGUCUCGUUCUCAUCACGAGUGGAGACGCACCAGGAGCGCACACGCUGGUGCCCGGUUGAUGGUGAACUAUGCCUGGCCAGGACGAAGCCAGGGGAAACCCUGGUGGAGGUCCGAAGCGAUUCUGACGUGCAAAUCGAUCGUCUGAGCUGGGUAUAGGGGCGAAAGACCAAUCGAACCAUCUAGUAGCUGGUUCCCUCUGAAGUUUCCCUCAGGAUAGCUGGCUCUCGGGAAGAGACGAGUCUCAUCCGGUAGAGCGAAUGAUUAGAGGUGAUGGGGUCGAAACGACUUCAACCUAUUCUCAAACUCCCAAUAGAUGAGAGCCCCGGCUUGCUUAAAAGUGAAGCCGCGGGACUCGGAUCAGAGAUGCCAAGUGGGCCAAUUUU
rnacentral:rRNA from 1 species